CGCUGACCCGCCCCUUCCUCCCUCUCCGCUCAGGGCUCCCGGGAACCAGGAGAGACGCUGCCCCGGAAGCUGAAGCA